UCGAGAAUCUUCGGCAAUGGGCGCAAGCCUGACCGAGCGACGCCGCGUGUGGGAUGAAGGCCUUCGGGUUGUAAACCACUGUCAGAGGGGAUGAAAUUCUGGUGGGUUCUCUCAUCAGUUUGACAUAGCCUCAGAGGAAGGACGGGCUAAGUUCGUGCCAGCAGCCGCGGUAAGACGAACCGUCCAAACGUUAUUCGGAUUUACUGGGCUUAAAGGGUGCGUAGGCGGCGCGGAAAGUUGGGUGUGAAAUCCCUCGGCUCAACCGAGGAACUGCGCCCAAAACUACCGUGCUCGAGGGAGAUAGAGGUGAGCGGAACUUAGGGUGGAGCGGUGAAAUGCGUUGAUAUCCUAAGGAACACCGGUGGCGAAAGCGGCUCACUGGAUCUCUUCUGACGCUGAGGCACGAAAGCUAGGGGAGCGAACGG
rnacentral:rRNA from 1 species